rnacentral:tRNA from 1 species
GUGGUUGUAGCUCAGUGGUAGAACACCUGCCUAACAUGUGUGAGGCACUGGGUUCGAUUCUCAGCACCACA